rnacentral:rRNA from 1 species
UGUUCCCGGGUCUUGUACACACCGCCCGUCACACCACGAAAGUCGGCAAUACCCGAAGCCGGUGGCCUAACCCGCAAGGGAGGGAGCCGUCGAAGGUAGGGUUGAUGAUUGGGGUA